GAUGAACGCUGGCGGCGUGCCUAAUACAUGCAAGUCGAGCGAACAGACGAGGAGCUUGCUCCUCUGACGUUAGCGGCGGACGGGUGAGUAACACGUGGAUAACCUACCUAUAAGACUGGGAUAACUUCGGGAAACCGGAGCUAAUACCGGAUAAUAUAUUGAACCGCAUGGUUCAAUAGUGAAAGACGGUUUUGCUGUCAAUUAUAGAUGGAUCCGCGCCGCAUUAGCUAGUUGGUAAGGUAACGGCUUACCAAGGCGACGAUGCGUAGCCGACCUGAGAGGGUGAUCGGCCACACUGGAACGUAGACACGGUCCAGACGCCUGCGAGAGGCAGCAGUAGGGAAUCUGCCGCAAUGGGCGAAAGCCUGACGGAGCAACGCCGCGUGAGUGAUGAAGGUCUUCGGAUCGUAAAACUCUGUUAUUAGGGAAGAACAAAUGUGUAAGUAACUAUGCACGUCUUGACGGUACCUAAUCAGAAAGCCACGGCUAACUACGUG
rnacentral:rRNA from 1 species